rnacentral:rRNA from 1 species
GAUGGACGCUGGCGGCGUGCCUAAUACAUGCAAGUCGAGCGAACAGAUGAGAAGCUUGCUUCUCUGAUGUUAGCGGCGGACGGGUGAGUAACACGUGGGUAACCUACCUAUAAGACUGGGAUAACUCCGGGAAACCGGGGCUAAUACCGGAUAAUAUUUUGAACCGCAUGGUUCAAUAGUGAAAGACGGUUUCGGCUGUCACUUAUAGAUGGACCCGCGCCGUAUUAGCUAGUUGGCAAGGUAACGGCUUACCAAGGCGACGAUACGUAGCCGACCUGAGAGGGUGAUCGGCCACACUGGAACUGAGACACGGUCCAGACUCCUACGGGAGGCAGCAGUAGGGAAUCUUCCGCAAUGAGCGAAAGCCUGACGGAGCAACGCCGCGUGAGUGAUGAAGGUCUUCGGAUCGUAAAACUCUGUUGUUAGGGAAGAACAAAUUUGUUAGUAACUGAACAAGUCUUGACGGUACCUAACCAGAAAGCCACGGCUAACUACGUGCCAGCCGCCGCCGUAA